AGAGUUUGAUCAUGGCUCAGGACGAACGCUGGCGGCGUGCGUAAUACAUGCAAGUCGAGCGAGCUUGCCUAGAUGAUUUUAGUGCUUGCGCUAAAUGAAACUAGAUACAAGCGAGCGGCGGACGGGUGAGUAACACGUGGGUAACCUGCCCAAGAGACUGGGAUAACACCUGGAAACAGAUGCUAAUACCGGAUAACAACACUAGACGCAUGUCUAGAGUUUGAAAGAUGGUUCUGCUAUCACUCUUGGAUGGACCUGCGGUGCAUUAGCUAGUUGGUAAGGUAACGGCUUACCAAGGCAAUGAUGCAUAGCCGAGUUGAGGGGCUGAUCGGCCACAUUGGGACUGAGACACGGCCCAAACUCCUACGGGAGGCAGCAGUAGGGAAUCUUCCACAAUGGACGAAAGUCUGAUGGAGCAACGCCGCGUGAGUGAAGAAGGGUUUCGGCUCGUAAAGCUCUGUUGGUAGUGAAGAAAGAUAGAGGUAGUAACUGGCUCUUUAUUUGACGGUAAUUACUUAGAAAGUCACGGCUAACUACGUGCCAGCAGCCGCGGUCAAUACGUAGGUGGCAAGCGUUGUCCGGAUUUAUUGGGCGUAAAGCGAGUGCAGGCGGUUCAAUAAGUCUGAUGUGAAAGCCUUCGGCUCAACCGGAGAAUUGCAUCAGAAACUGUUGAACUUGAGUGCAGAAGAGGAGAGUGGAACUCCAUGUGUAGCGGUGGAAUGCGUAGAUAUAUGGAAGAACACCAGUGGCGAAGGCGGCUCUCUGGUCUGCAACUGACGCUGAGGCUCGAAAGCAUGGGUAGCGAACAGGAUUAGAUACCCUGGUAGUCCAUGCCGUAAACGAUGAGUGCUAAGUGUUGGGAGGUUUCCGCCUCUCAGUGCUGCAGCU
rnacentral:rRNA from 1 species